UUGCAUGGGGGGAACUUCUGCUGGAGAUAUUCCGCUUUCAUGCCCGGGAAACCAGCGCGCUACAGCUCGAGGACCAGCGUGAAGGCUUCGUGCUCAAGAUGGUGGAAGAUUUUAUCCGUGCCACACUAGAUCAUUAUUAACCCACAUGGAACGAGAAUGGGUCGAUACAUUUGAGUAUAGGAACUUGUAAAGUUGUCCAGCAUUGCUGAGGAAAUGAGGGUGGGGAAGAAGAAGAGCUGGACCCUCAUUCCAGACAGUUCCUCAAGAACGCCCAACAGAUACAUAACAUCAAGACUUGUUACAAAGUGUCGCACAAGUAUCUCAUGCAGGCAACAGAGAGUCUCGUACAAACUCUGGUCCUUCACGGGCCCUAAACAAGAAAUAUAUGGACUUGGCCGGAGUUGCUUCACUUGAAUUAGUGGAAUGUUUUGGCCAGUACGACCCAGCGAUCACAAGCCGGUUCCUUGCACUUUAUCAGAGCUAUGUGACCUCUACGCGUCUUAUUGACCUGUUGACCUGUCGCCCAGCUUGACCCAACCCAGUCCCGCCUGCCCGCAGCAAGCCAACUUCCUGUCAAGGGAGAUUGACAUCCAACUCCCUCGCAAGUGAAGCAUAACGCAGUCAACGCAAGAUGCUCUUGAAUGCGAUUGGCAGGCCUGGAAGAAACAGGAGGUUUCCACAACCCAUAUAGACUUGCCCGAAGAUCUCCCAUCAAACUUUAACUUGGAAUUCCUUGUGCUACAGCAAUCACUUGACAAGUCUUUCGUGUAUGGAGCCCUCAUGGAGAAGUCCAAAAGCUGUGUUGAGGGUGGGGACAAAAACCCUUCUGGGAAACAGACUGCCAUAGAAGUAAGAUGCCGUUUUGCUAGGACGAACACCAAUUUUGUCAGAGGGGAAGCUGAGGAUAAUAUUUAAUUUACUUUUGCCCAGAGCCCUCGCAGCUGCCAGCCAACAAAACCCAAAACAAGCCCAUGGUAACCAAGGAUAUUUUGUAUAUGUAUUUUGCAUAUCCUGGGCAAAUAAUCUAAACAAUGGGUUUUUAUUAAUUUCUGCUAUCAUUAUU